rnacentral:tRNA from 1 species
GGUUUGUGGCUCAGUGGUAGAGUACUUGCCUAGCAUGUGCAAGGCCCUGAGUUCGAUCCUCAGUACCA